UACGUAGGGGGCAAGCGUUGUCCGGAUUUAUUGGGCGUAAAGAGCGUGUAGGCGGCCAUGUAGGUCCGUUGUGAAAACUCGAGGCUCAACCUCGAGACGCCGAUGGAAACCAUGUGGCUAGAGUCCGGAAGAGGAGAGUGGAAUUCCUGGUGUAGCGGUGAAAUGCGCAGAUAUCAGGAAGAACACCCGUGGCUAAGGCGGCUCUCUAGGACGGUACUGACGCUGAGGCGCGAAAGCGUGGGGAGCGAACAGG
rnacentral:rRNA from 1 species